rnacentral:piRNA from 1 species
UGGAUUCGCUGGUGUCCAACAAGAGCUGA